rnacentral:rRNA from 1 species
GGGGAAUAUUGCACAAUGGGCGAAAGCCUGAUGCAGCGACGCCGCGUGAGGGAUGAAGGCCUUCGGGUUGUAAACCUCUUUCAGCAGGGACGAAGCGAAAGUGACGGUACCUGCAGAAGAAGCACCGGCCAACUACGUGCCAGCAGCCGCGGUAAUACGUAGGGUGCAAGCGUUGUCCGGAAUUAUUGGGCGUAAAGAGCUCGUAGGCGGUCUGUCGCGUCAGCUGUGAAAACCUGGGGCUCAACCCCGGGCCUGCAGCCGAUACGGGCAGACUAGAAUUCGGUAGGGGAGACUGGAAUUCCUGGUGUAGCGGUGAAAUGCGCAGAUAUCAGGAGGAACACCGGUGGCGAAGGCGGGUCUCUGGGCCGAUAUUGACGCUGAGGAGCGAAAGCGUGGGGAGCAAAC